rnacentral:misc_RNA from 1 species
AACGCAAGUUGCGCCCGAAGCCUAGGCCGAGGGCACGUCUGCCUGGGCGUCACGCACAAAUCCGCCCCCAACAUCCCGCCCAAGACUUCGUCGUCGGACGGGAUCGCCGGGGAGCAGACGCUGGCCUCCCGUGCUUUCGCCGGCGCGGUUGGCCGAAAUUGAGAUCGUGGCAUCAUGGUUCACAACGAAUGGUGGAUACAUCGUCCGUACCAUCAUCGCCGCGUAUUCCCCGCGGAAUUCGAUCCACGUCGUGGAGGAGUUCCUCGUUGCGACCCCAGGUCAGGCGGGAUUACCCGCUGAGUUUAA